rnacentral:lncRNA from 10 species
CAGAAGGCAGAAUUGAGCAUGUGAGACAGAGAAUUGGGGCCAAACUUAUCUUUUUAUCAGAAGCCCACUCCUGAGAUAACUUACCCACUCCCAUGAUAACAGCAUUAAUCCACUCAUGAUCUAAUCACCAUGUAAAGGUGUCACCUCUAAAUACUGUUACAAUGGCAAUUAAUUUUAUUUAAAAAAAAUAGAGACAGGUCUUGCUAUAUUACCCACGUGGGUCUCCAACUCCUGGGCUCAAGCAAUCCUCCUGUCUCAGCCUCCCAAUGUGCUGAGAUUACAGGAGUGAGCCAUUGCAUCCAGCUGGCAAUUAAUUUUCAACAUGAGUUUUGGCAGGGACAUUCAAACCACAGCAAAUACGCAAUUCAUGAUUCAUUCCAUUUAAUGCUUUACUCCCUAGUUAUUUAUUGAUUCUCCUCAGGGUCCCUGGCAAACAGUGAGAGACUUCAUCUUUGGCCUCCUUGACCUCUGCUAAUUCGUUCAUUUAACAAACAUUUGUUGAGAUCCUGCUGUGCUUCAGACAAUAUACAAGCAAUGUGGAUACAGACCAGGAAGAGCUCAUAAUAAACGGUGAACCGCAAAUAGUACAUAGGGUGAAGCAUGGAUGAGGUUAUGACUCAGCUUUGACCAUGCAGCCAAAGACAACAUCCUAGGAACUGUGAGCCAAGGGGAUGGGAGGAAGCCAUGGCCCCGACUGACCCGAUGGAGCUGAGUAGCCCGACCAGUCUGGACCACCCACCCCUGGCCUUUUGCUUGAGAAAUAAAUUAAUUUCAGAUUCUUUAA